rnacentral:rRNA from 1 species
UACGGAGGGGGCGAGCGUUGUCCGAAGUUACUGGGCGUAAAGCGCGCGUAGGCGGGUUGGUAAGUCCGCUGUGAAAGCCCGGAGCUUAACUCCGGAGGGUCGGUGGAUACUGCCAGUCUUGAAGGUGCUAGGGGGAGAUGGAAUUACCGGUGUAGCGGUGAAAUGCGUAGAUAUCGGUAGGAACACCAGUGGCGAAGGCGGUCUCCUGGGGCAUUCUUGACGCUGAGACGCGAAAGCGUGGGGAGCGAACAGG